rnacentral:rRNA from 1 species
UACGGGGGGGGCGAAGCGUUGUUCGGAAUUACUGGGCGUAAAGGGCUCGUAGGCGGCCAACUAAGUCGGAUGUGAAAUCCCCAGGCUUAACCUGGGAACUGCAUCCGAUACUGGAUGGCUUGAAUUCGGGAGAGGGAUGCAGAAUUCCAGGUGUAGCGGUGAAAUGCGUAGAUAUCUGGAGGAAUACCGGUGGCGAAGGCGGCAUCCUGGACCGAGAUUGACACUGAUGAGCGAAAGCCAGGGGAGCAAACGGG